rnacentral:rRNA from 1 species
GAUGAACGCUGGCGGCGUGCCUGAUACAUGCAAGUCGAGCGAAUGGAUUGAGAGCUUGCUCUUAUGAAGUUAGCGGCGGACGGGUGAGUAACACGUGGGUAACCUGCCCAUAAGACUGGGAUAACUCCGGGAAACCGGGGCUAAUACCGGAUAACAUUUUGAACCGCAUGGUUCGAAAUUGAAAGGCGGCUCCGGCUGUCACUUAUGGAUGGACCCGCGUCGCAUUAGCUAGUUGGUGAGGUAACGGCUCACCAAGGCAACGAUGCGUAGCCGACCGGGGAGGGUGAGCGGCCACACUGGGACUGAGACACGGCCUAGACUCCUACGGGAUGCAGCAGUAGGGAAUCUUCCGCAAUGGACGAAAGUCUGACGGAGCAACGCCGCGUGAGUGAUGAAGGCUUUCGGGUCGUAAAACUCUGCUGUUAGGGAAGAACAAGUGCUAGUUGAAUAAGCUGGCACCUUGACGGUACCUAACCAGAAAGCCACGGCUAACUACGUGCCAGCCGCCGCGGUAA